rnacentral:lncRNA from 1 species
UUUGGGAAGCACACCCAUGGCCUUGCUCUGACAGCUGGGGCACUGCGUGCUCUGCUGGAGCACUGGGGUUCAUCUGUUGGUUUCAGGGGAGCUUUGUGUCCUUCAUUACAUGGUGGAGAGCUUAGCCCUGAUUUCUACAUGGGCUCUUGGGUAUGGGAGUGGCUGGGAGUAAAAUGUCAAACACUAAUUCAUAGCUUCAUAAAAACAUACCUAAUCUGGUGGUCUUAAAUAUCCCAACUUUCUGAUAGAUCAGUUAAUGUGAUUCCAUUGGCCCUGUUUAUUGCCUAUCCACAAUCAAUUGUAUUGAUUUUUUUUUUCCUCUAAUAUUAUUUUGUCCUGAAUUUUGUUUCACUGUUAGUUACAUUUCAGACUAUGGAGUCUGGCCAUAGCGUGGGAUGACAGGUCUGCAUGCUGUAAUUCUUCUCUGCCUUGUGGAAGUGCCUUUUUUGACUUCAUCAGCCUGAACAUUCUCCCCCUGUCUAAUGUUAAAAUCUCACCUAGUUUCAGAUCAAGUAUUAACUUUCUCUGCUUCAUCCUACAUUCUCUUGACAUGUUAUUCAGCUCAAAGAAUUCAAAUAUGGAUGCUGGCAACACUUUUAAAAAAUCUUGUUCAAAGUUACAGCUCCUGUGAGAGAUGGAGUGCAGUGACUGCAGUAACUGGGCCUGCUGUUUCCAGCAGCUCCACUGGGUGGGCCUGUAACCUCUGCUGUGCAGCACUGUGCCUGGUGUGCUGUUAGGCAGGGCUUGCAGCUGACACAGCCCUGCAUCAGGAGGUCUCCCCUCUUCCCCUCUUCCUUUGCCCCAUCACUAGCACCUGCAUCCCCAGGCAGUCAAAGAGCUGAUGUGUGCUUGGCUUUCUGCUGCUUGUCACAGGCAAGGGCUCCACUUCAGCCCUGGCCUGUGAAAUUAGCAGAGGAGCUGUGCGUGCAGGGUAGCCUUCAUGGCAAUGGGAAAUCUUUGCUACCUCCCAUUCCUUGUAGAAGUCUUCAUUUUCUCUACUCAGUGCAAAAGCAGAAAUGGUUUUUCACUUCCCAGCUGCUGGGAGGUACAGGCAGGCUCUGGGCACGGCUUGUGUUGUAGCACUGCCUUUUCUCCAUGUGAGAUGAUGCAUCCUCCCACCAAUAGGCUUUUUUAGUUCAGCUAAAUAUCACCCCUCCAGAACUAAACAAUUGAUACGCAUGGUCUGUGGGAUUAGAAGAGUUUGUAAAGAGUUCUUUGUUACUAAUUUAGGAGCUACAAACCUGAACACCUCGGUGUGAGGACCUCCUGCAAGGCAGGGAGGCAUCCUUUGAGGGGUGAUGUAAAGGGACGUGUGUGGUUGUCCAUGUCCUGCUGUGUUCGGUCAUCUUUAUCCCAGCAAAGCACACUGAGAUGGUUCUUUGGGGGUGCGUUCCCAGCCUGGUGCUCUGGGACACAGCUUGGAAGUGGAGAAAGUUUUGUAAUUUGAAAGUCUGUCAGCUGUAUUUGCCAGCUGUGUGCUUUCCUAAUCAAUGGCAGCAGGCCAUUGGCCAAACAGCAGUUUGUGCUGGGGAGAACUGCGGGCACAGUGCUCUUAAGGUGUUCUUUUGUUGUUGUUCUCCUGCUAGUUGCUUUAUUGCUAGGUCUGCUCCAGCUCCCGGCCCCCUGAAAUGUGCAGACCUGAACACAUUGGAGGGGGUUUUUGUGUCAGUAAAUGAUACGAUCUGCUGAAAUGAAAAUCACACUGCAGAACUCACUGCAUUAACCUGCUCACCCCAACAUGCUGAUGCUCAUGUUGUGCUAAUAUCAAGACAUGCGCUGAAGAGCCAAGACAGGCAAUGGAGGAUUUUAAUUAGUUUAGUGCCUUUUGCUUUGCUGAUGUAAUAGUUAUUAAUACGAGUCAAUCUUUGGUUGUUUUAGUAGCUGGUUCAAAUGUUAAUUGCCAGCAGAAGCUGACGGAGCUCCUCAGCACUGCAGGCGGUGCUGCACCAAAUCACAGAUGGGGACGUUCACAUUUGGGGUGGUUUUCUCAUCUCCGUGUUGUGUCCAAAUUAAACAUCAUUGCUUCAGACAAGGUGAGGAGCUCUAAAGAAGGCAACACCUGCACUUAGCUAAUGCCAGCAGUCACGUUACUUGCUACUCUGCUUCUAUUGGGUUCAUUGAGCCAAAGUCUGCCAGAUGCCCAAAGGCCACCAACCUGCCGACCCAAAGCCCUUCCUGCAGGUCUGCUGCAGGGAUGUGACACAACCGCCUCUCACACCUCAUCGGUGCUCUGCUGCUAUCUUUGUGAGUAGAAAAUGGGCCGUGAUGUCAGGCUUGUUUCUUCCUACUGCUUCCUUCCUUUAAUGCACUUUGUUAUUACUCCGCUCUCCACAAUAGACAUGUAAGACAGCUCAUUCACUUCCUUUUGGCAACAGCCUCUUACAUAAUGGAGAACUCUAAUUUCCCGUGUCAUUCUUCUCCUUCUCGGAAGGACUGACUAUGCCUUGCAGUCCCCAAACCCUCUUCUGCAGAAAUGCUGCUGAGCCCAUGCCUUCCCGCUGUGCUUGUAUGCAGACGGUUCUUUAAAACAGGAUUGUGUGCUUUACUGAACUCUCUCAGAACGGUUCUGAUCAUUUCUCCAACUUAUGGAGAUCGCUUUGAACUCUACUUCACUUGCAGUGCCUUCUACUUUCUUACUGCCCUGAAGUCUUUGCACCCGAAGUGGCACCAAUGUGAGCAGUACAGUCUUCACUGUCUUUAUUGAAGAAUGAGCAUCAGCUUUUUGCUGGCUCAUUUACUGUCAUCAACCACCGAGAUGGCAUUUACCACUGAGAAGCUGAAAUAAUCAGACCAAAGUGUUACAAAAAUGAUCCUGCAUAUUUUAACCUUCUCAGUGCUUUUUAGACAUACAAUUUCACCACCAGGUAUUUUGGGGCUACUUCAGCCUUAAAAACAAAGUGGUGGGUUUGGGAGCUUUGGGUGAUGUGAUAUGUGAGAAGAGGUUCUUGUUUUGCUUUCCAUACUGAAGGAAUAUUUGCUCCAUGCUUUGCAAACGGGGUCACAGAUUUUAGCAGCCAGCCUUUGGUUAAGCAAAUCUGGGAGUUAACUGGGCUGAGUUCAUGAAUCGACUCCAAAAGCAGUUUGCUGAUUGUGGGGCUGAUGCUGAGGGCAGAUGGAGCAGGCAGGGGGAAAUGGAGCAGCUCAGCAUCCCGUCCCUGUGCAGGGCUGGAGCUCAGCACUGCAGUACGAAUGCAAUCUCCUGCUGUGAGGCAGUGCACAAAUGCCUUCCAUGUAAACGCCGUGCAUCUCCCUAAAAUAAUUAGUAGUGUAAUUAUGUUUUAGUUGAGUAAGAGGCCACAACAAUCGUAUUGUUCUUAAGAGUUAAGAAGGGGAAAGGAUGUACAGACAUAAUCUGAUGUGGGAAAAUGGUGCCCUGAGUGCAGAUGUCAGCAGCGGUGAUUCAGAGCCAAGAACACCUCCUUGAUUACCCACCACUGGCUCUGGCAUUAUCUCUGCCCACUCCGUGCUGCCCUGGGAUUCUCACUCUCAGCCCUUCCAUCUCAGCUGGGUGUCCUCAGCCAUCCUGUGAUGGCGUUUUGAUCGCAGGCUGAGAAUUCACUUUUAGACAUCAGCGCUGACACUGAGCAGCACAGAUACAUCACAGUCAUCUGACUGCAGAACCUUUUGGAUCCAAACCUCUUAUUUAUUCAUACGUUUACAUGGUUGAGAUAUCGGUUCUGAAGCAAUAGGCUGGUUUAUUUUAUUUGCUUGGUUACAGGUCAGAUCAUGUUGUCCGCAUUAAGCGUUAAGGGUGGUUUAAUUGAACAGGCCUUUCUCCUUUUGCUCCCCGAUCUCUGGGAUUUCACUGUCGCAUCCGGAUAAAGCGGCAGUGUUGGAUUUUAAAUACACAUAUUGACAACAGCCAGGGAGGCUGUAAUUCCAAGUGAUUGAUUGGGGUGAGCCCACCUCGUUGGAUCCUUCACUCCUUCGCGCCGCUGUUAAUUGGGAAUGAAUUCACAGCAAUCAAAUGAUGUUAACUUGUGUGAUAAGUGUGGAGGUCGUAAUGUUCUGCCUGAGCCUUAACGGAGCUCAAAAGGCCUAAUUCUGCCUCAGACCCUUUUUGCUUCAGAUCUGGAGUGAAUCUGUAGCUUAUGUCUGAAAAUGUGCAUAUCCUGUGUGUGUCAGCCGGGGCAGCUCUGCCUGUGUCAGCACUGCAGUCAGCUCUGCCAUUGGCCAUCCCAGCGUGCUGCUGAGCAGCUCACCCCAUGCGUGACAUCAUUUAAGCACACACGAAGGGAACGAGGUCACCUUUUCUGCAUGUAACUUCUAUCACUUCAGUAAGACCUGUUGCAAACACACAGCAAUUCAGUUGGAGAACUGCAAAAGGCAAUGAGGUGCAGAAGGUCUCAGCUCCAGCAUGAGGCAAAGGGAAUGUCUUAAUAUAUUUAACAAACAAUCAUGAAAAGCAGAGGAAGGGAGAGAGAGGGGAAAAAUACAUUCCCUGGCAAUCAGUUGUUUAAAUAUGAGUGUCAGGAGCACUGCUCAGUCGGGAUUAUUUUCUUGGCUUUUCUCCAUGUAUGUAAAUCCUUGUGGUAUGCACAGCCUGCAGUGCCAGCCCUGGUGCAGCAUGGUGGGGAUUGGGAUAUUGUCCCAUUUCGAGUAGCAUGUAAACAUUCAAGCUAGAUGGCUUCAAAUCUUGUGUUUAAAAACAAAGAUUUCCUUAUUUGUCAUUAAGAUAUCCUAGCAAUAUUGUAGAGAACAUGUAAAAAUAUGCAUUGUUAGUACAUCAUGCAGUAAUUCUGCAGCACGAUGCCCCAUUCUUACCCUGCAGCUCAGCUCCGGUGAGAAAACCAAUUUUCUCUGACCUGGUGAUUCUCACCAGCUGAAAUCAGCAGAGCUUUAUAUGCUGGGAAUCCUGAAGGGCUUUAAAUACUCGAGGCGCUAAUAGGUAUUUUAGGUCCUGUGGUCCACUUCCUCACCAGUGCAGAGCUGUGCCUCUCUGUGCAUGGCCCGGGCUGCUCUAAUCACAGCAGGGAGCUGCUGCUGCCCUGCAGAAGGGGGAAAUGUGUCCCCAGAGGCAAUCUUCCUUUGUAGCCAUGAAUUGCCCUUUAACCAUGAGCACGAGGAACAUACAUUACAGACCUGACACUACAGAAAUGCAACGGCAGUUCUCGUCUUUCUUCCGCAGUCUCCGAGUUAAAUUGCUUCAUUAAUUCGAAGGGAGUUUUCUGCUGUUUCCUUCUGAUUAAUUUGUUUGUGUGCACUGAGGGCCCGCUCUGCGUGCACAGCAUUUCUGAAGAGCUGCUCCGUGCUGUAAGUAGCCCUGAAGUGUUUGCAUUCAGCUCUCCCAGCCCCUUCCUCCAGAGCGUUUGUUUGCCUGUUUUUGCUCUGGAUUGCUCAGCAGAUGAUGAAUAAUCACAGGGGCCAUUUCUUGUUCUUUCAUUAUUUCUGAAAGCAAACAUAGGCAGAAUUCAGGACCCCGGAGAAAAGGCAGCUAAAAUAAUUUUGCAAUAGUAAAGCGCCGGCGGCAGCCAGACAGCACCACUAAAACAUCGUGUUGGAGCUCUGCAACAUCUCUCUGGUUUACACAGUAAUUCAGCUGGGAGUACGUUUGAGGGGAGGUUUUUCCAUGGAAACCUGAAGUGUAAUCCCCCAAACAACUCACUUCACUCUAAUGUACAUGGGCUUAGUGUUUAGAUACCACCCAGCUGUGUUAGGCUGGUUGCUAUGGUCCUGCUUUCCAUUUCAGAGCCUUUGAUUAAUGCACAACCACUGAAGGAGCGGAGGAGCUGCUGUGUGCAGAUGCCAGGGGGAGGGCACUGGGCAGCAGCGGUGUGUAGGGAACUCUCUGCCCAUGGAGCUCCGCAUCUCGGUGUGCUGCUGCCCACAUCUCUCUGUGCAGAUCCUUCUGCCCCCACACAGCACUCAGUGCUGCUUCCCAACUGCAACCAGCAGCGCUGAUGGCUCUGCGUGGGUGCCCACACCAACGUCACCCAAAGCAACAAGCUGACAUCCUGGCCCAGCACGGGCCCUGCAGCCGCUCUGUUACCAUCAGGUUUCUGUUCCAGCCGGGAGAUGAGCA